CGUUUGGAGAUGGACUUGUGUCCCCAAGAGAUAGAGGAUUCAAUGAAGGCCUGUUCAGAGUUAUCCUGUAGACAUGGCAGUGAUCCCAGAUGAUUCUCCUGCCCACGAGAAAACAACUCCUGUAGACAGCAAUUUGAUUGCCUAUGGCACACUUAUCAAGGAGGAGGGGUAAGUGAGUGAAAAGUCAGAGACUACCUAAACAUAUGAAGUCCACUAUAAUGUUCUAAGGGCUGUCUACACCUUGAACACAUGCUGCUAGGUUGCCUAACUUCAGUUGAUCACAGGGAUUCCCCAGAAUCAGUUUAUCAUCUAGGGACCCAUCCAUCAAAAAGAAGUUUCUAUGAGAAAGUAAGUUGUUGACUGAACCUAGGUGAGCUAUGAGUAUCAUAUCAUCUUGAUCUUGGUUGAAACAUAACAUAAGAAACUGGGACUAAGACAAUACAUGUGCAGGAGAAAAAAACGAGGCGUAGAAUUAAUGGAACAUAUACAGAUUGGAUCAUCACUAGUAGUGAGUAGCAUCGGGGUCAGUAUUAAAUACUUGGCUUAAUCGUUCA